UCUCCGUAGGCGAACCUGCGGAGGGAUCAUUACAGAGUUCAUGCCCUACCGGGUAGAUCUCCCACCCUAUGUUAUUAUUACUUUGUUGCUUUGGCGGGCCGUUAGGCUCCGGCCCGACUACCGGCCCCGGCUGGUAAGCGCCCGCCAGAGGACCCAAAACCCUGAAUAUUAGUGUCGUCUGAGUACUAUAUAAUAGUUAAAACUUUCAACAACGGAUCUCUUGGUUCUGGCAUCGAUGAAGAACGCGGC
rnacentral:misc_RNA from 1 species